GACGAACGCUGGCGGCGUGCUUAACACAUGCAAGUCGAACGGUAAGGCCCUUCGGGUACACGAGUGGCGAACGGGUGAGUAACACGUGGGUGAUCUGCCCUGCACUUCGGGAUAAGCCUGGGAAACUGGGUCUAAUACCGGAUAGGACUCCGAAUCGCAUGGUUUGGGGUGGAAAGCUUUUGCGGUGUGGGAUGGGCCCGCGGCCUAUCAGCUUGUUGGUGGGGUGAUGGCCUACCAAGGCGACGACGGGUAGCCGGCCUGAGAGGGUGUCCGGCCACACUGGGACUGAGAUACGGCCCAGACUCCUACGGGAGGCAGCAGUGGGGAAUAUUGCACAAUGGGCGCAAGCCUGAUGCAGCGACGCCGCGUGAGGGAUGACGGCCUCGGUUGUAACC
rnacentral:rRNA from 1 species